rnacentral:rRNA from 1 species
UACGUAGGGACCGAGCGUUGUCCGGAUUCAUUGGGCGUAAAGAGCUCGUAGGCGGCCACUCAAGUCGAAUGUGAAACCUCGAGGCUUAACCUCGAGCCUGCAUUUGAUACUGGGCGGCUAGAGUCUGGUAGGGGGAUCUGGAAUUCCUGGUGUAGCGGUGGAAUGCGCAGAUAUCAGGAGGAACACCGGUGGCGAAGGCGGGAUCCUGGGCCAGUACUGACGCUGAGGAGCGAAAGCAUGGGGAGCGAACAGG